rnacentral:ncRNA from 1 species
UAACCAUCCCGAGCGGCUGAGAGACCUGGCUCGCUGACGCCGCAGCAACCCCUUCACCGGCCGGUGAAGCACGGUGCUAAUGCCAGGACCGAUGGAGA